GAUGAAGAACGCAGCGAAAUGCGAUAAGUAGUGUGAAUUGCAGAAUUCAGUGAAUCAUCGAAUCUUUGAACGCACAUUGCGCCCCUUGGUAUUCCAUGGGGCAUGCCUGUUCGAGCGUCAUUUGUACCUUCAAGCUUUGCUUGGUGUUGGGUGUUUGUCUCGCCUUUGCGUGUAGACUCGCCUUAAAAUAAUUGGCAGCCGGCGUAUUGAUUUCGGAGCGCAGUACAUCUCGCGCUUUGCACUCAUAACGACAGCGUCCAAAAGUACAUUUUACACUCUUGACCUCGGAUCAGGUAGGGAUACCCGCUGAACUUAAGCCUAUCAAUAAGCGGAGGA
rnacentral:misc_RNA from 1 species